UUUCAUGUGAAGGUGAUGACUCACUCCUCCCUAAUGUUUUGUUGAAAUCUGUCUUUCAUUUUAGGGACACUAGACUUUCAGGGAUGUGGCUAUAGAUUUCUCUUUGGAGGAGUGGAAAUGCCUGAACCCUGCACAGAGGGCUUUAUACAGGGAAGUGAUGUUGGAGAACUACAGGAACCUGGAGUUUGUGGAUAGCUCUUUAAAAUCCAUGAUGGAGUUCUCAUCAACUGGGCACGGUAAUACAGGAGAAGUGAUUCACACAGGGACGUUGCAAAUACAUGAAAGUCAUCACACUGGAGAUUUUUGCUUCCCAGAAAUCAAGAAAGAUAUUCAUCACUUUGAGUUUCAGUGGCAAGAAAUUUAAAGAAAUGGCCAUGAAGCACCCAUGACAGAAACCAAAGAGUUGACAGGUAGUACAGACUGACGUGAUCAAAGACAUGCUGGAAACAAGCCUAUUAAAGAUCAGCUUGGAUCAAGCUUUCAUUCGCAUCUGCCUGAACUCCACAUGUUUCAGACCCAAGGGAAAAUUGGUAAUCAAGUGGAGAAGUCUAUCAAUGAUGCUUCCUCAGCUUCAACAUCCCAAAUAAUUUGUAGGCUCAAAACCCAUAUUUCUAUUAAGUAUGGGAAGAAUUUCCUCUAUUCUUCAUUAUUCACACAAAUACAAGAAGUACACAUGAGGGAAAAACCUUUCCAAUGUAAUGAGUGUGGCAAAGCCUUUAAUCAUAGCUCAUGUUUAAGGAGACAUCACGUAACCCAUUCAGGAGAGAAACAGUAUAAAUGUGAUGUAUGUGGCAAAGUCUUUCAUCAGAAGCAAUACCUUGCAUGGCACCAUAGUGUUCAUACUGGAGAAAAACCUUACAAGUGUAAUGAGUGUUCCAAGACCUUCAAUCAGAAGUCAUCCCUUCAGUGUCAUCAUAGACUUCAUACUGUACAGAAACAUUACAAAUGUGAAGAAUGCAACAAAGUUUAGAGUUGAGGAUCACAACUUGAAACACACAGGAGAAUUCAUACUGGAGAAAAACCAUACAAACGUAAGGUUUGUGACAAGGCUUUCUGGGAUAAUUCAUGCCUUUCAUGCCGUAAGAGUUCAUACUGGAGAGAAAUGUUACACAUGUAACGAAUGUGGCAAGGCUUUUAGUAGAAAAGCAAACCUUGCACAUCAUGGACUUCAUACUGGAGGGAAAUCUUACAAAUGUAAGGGUUGUGACAAGGUUUUCCACCAUGAUUUAUGCCUUGCACAACAUCAGAGAGUUCAUACUGGAGAGAACCUUACACAUUUCACGAGUAUGGAAAGACCUUUGCUCAAAAUUCAGCCCUUGUAAUGCAUAAGGCAAUUCAUACUGGAAAGAAACCUUACACAUGUAAUGAAUGUGGCAAGGUUUUUAGUAGAAAAGCACACCUUGCAUGUCAUCAUAGACUUCAUACUGUCUAAGGUUUCUAAUCAACAAUCAAACCUUGCACAACAUCAGAGAGUUUAUACUGGAGAGAAACCUUACAAGUGUAAUGAGUGGGGCAAAGCCUUAAGUGGGAAGUCGUCACUUUUUUAUCAUCAAGCAAUCCAUGGUGUAGGGAAACUUUGCAAAUGUAAUGAUUGUCACAAAGUCUUCAGUAAUGCUACAACCAUUGCAAAUCACUGGAGAAUCCAUAAUGAAGACAGAUCUUACAAGUGUAAUAAAUGUGGUAAAAUUUUCAGACAUCGAUCAUAUCUUGCAGUUUAUCAGCGAACUCAUACUGGAGAGAAACCUUACAAAUAUCAUGACUGUGGCAAGGUCUUCAGUCAAGCUUCAUCCUAUGCAAAACAUAGGAGAAUUCAUACAGGAGAGAAACCUCACAAGUGUGAUGAUUGUGGCAAAGUCUUGACUUCACGUUCACACCUCAUUAGACAUCAGAGAAUCCAUACUGGACAGAAAUCUUACAAAU
rnacentral:lncRNA from 1 species